GGAGAUGUGGCUCAGUGGUAGAGUGCUUGCUUAGCAUGCACAAGGCCCUGGGUUCAACCCCCAGUAACUCCC
rnacentral:tRNA from 1 species